rnacentral:rRNA from 1 species
UCAUUGAGACUUCGGUGGAUUUGAUCUAUUUCUAGUGGCGGACGGGUGAGUAACGCGUGGGUAACCUGCCUUAUACAGGGGGAUAACAGUCAGAAAUGGCUGCUAAUACCGCAUAAGCGCACAGAGCUGCAUGGCUCAGUGUGAAAAACUCCGGUGGUAUGAGAUGGACCCGCGUUGGAUUAGCUAGUUGGCAGGGUAACGGCCUACCAAGGCGACGAUCCAUAGCCGGCCUGAGAGGGUGGACGGCCACAUUGGGACUGAGACACGGCCCAGACUCCUACGGGAGGCAGCAGUGGGGAAUAUUGCACAAUGGGGGAAACCCUGAUGCAGCGACGCCGCGUGAGCGAAGAAGUAUUUCGGUAUGUAAAGCUCUAUCAGCAGGGAAGAAAAUGACGGUACCUGACUAAGAAGCACCGGCUAACUACGUGCCAGCAGCCGCGGUAAUACGUAGGGGGCAAGCGUUAUCCGGAUUUACUGGGUGUAAAGGGAGCGUAGACGGAAUGGCAAGUCUGAUGUGAAAGGCCGGGGCUCAACCCCGGGACUGCAUUGGAAACUGUCAAUCUAGAGUACCGGAGGGGUAAGUGGAAUUCCUAGUGUAGCGGUGAAAUGCGUAGAUAUUAGGAGGAACACCAGUGGCGAAGGCGGCUUACUGGACGGUAACUGACGUUGAGGCUCGAAAGCG